rnacentral:rRNA from 1 species
GAUGAACGCUGGCGGCGUGCCUAAUACAUGCAAGUCGAGCGAACGGACGAGAAGCUUGCUUCUCUGAUGUUAGCGGCGGACGGGUGAGUAACACGUGGAUAACCUACUUAUAAGACUGGGAUAACUUCGGGAAACCGGAGCUAAUACCGGCUAAUAUUUUGAACCGCAUGGUUCAAAAGUGAAAGACGGUCUUGCUGUCACUUAUAGAUGGAUCCGCGCUGCAUUAGCUAGUUGGUAAGGUAACGGCUUACCAAGGCAACGAUGCAUAGCCGACCUGAGAGGGUGAUCGGCCACACUGGAACUGAGACACGAUCCAGACUCCUACGGGAGGCAGCAGUAGGGAAUCUGCCGCAAUGGGCGAAAGCCUGACGGAGCAACGCCGCGUGAGUGAUGAAGGUCUUCGGAUCGUAAAACUCUGUUAUUAGGGAAGAACAUAUGUGUAAGUAACUGUGCACAUCUUGACGGUACCUAAUCAGAAAGCCACGGCUAACUACGUG